AUUGAACGCUGGCGGCAUGCCUUACACAUGCAAGUCGAACGGCAGCGGGGGAGAAGCUUGCUUUUCCUGCCGGCGAGUGGCGAACGGGUGAGUAAUACAUCGGAACGUGCCCUGUAGUGGGGGAUAACUAGUCGAAAGAUUAGCUAAUACCGCAUACGACCUGAGGGUGAAAGUGGGGGACCACAAGGCCUCAUGCUAUAGGAGCGGCCGAUGUCUGAUUAGCUAGUUGGUGGGGUAAAGGCCUACCAAGGCGACGAUCAGUAGCUGGUCUGAGAGGACGAUCAGCCACACGGGGACUGAGACACGGCCCAGACUCCUACGGGAGGCAGCAGUGGGGAAUUUUGGACAAUGGGCGAAAGCCUGAUCCAGCAAUGCCGCGUGUGUGAAGAAGGCCUUCGGGUUGUAAAGCACUUUUGUCCGGAAAGAAAUGGCUCUGGUUAAUACCUGGGGUCGAUGACGGUACCGGAAGAAUAAGGACCGGCUAACUACGUGCCAGCAGCCGCUGUAA
rnacentral:rRNA from 1 species